GACGAACGCUGGCGGCGUGCUUAACACAUGCAAGUCGAGCGGUAAGGCCCUUUCGGGGGUACGACGAGCGGCGAACGGGUGAGUAACACGUGGGUGGACCUGCCCUUAGCUCUGGGAUAAGCCUGGGAAACGUGGGUCUAAUACCGGAUAUGACUCCAUGACGCAUGUUGUGGGGUGGAAAGCCUUGUGCGGCUAGGGAUGGGCCCGCGGCCUAUCAGCUUGUUGGUGGGGUGAUGGCCUACCAAGGCGACGACGGGUAGCCGGCCUGAGAGGG
rnacentral:rRNA from 1 species